UAUAUACUUUGUGUAUAAUGUAUUAAGGGGAGAUAAUCAAUCCAAAUGACUUCAUAGGGGUGAACAAUAAAGAUUUGUUUAUACUGUCAGGUUUGAGGUAACGGUAGGUUAUACUUUGUGUAUAAUGUAUUUAGGGGAGAUAAUCAAUCCAAAUGACUUCAUAGGGUUGAACAAAAAGAUUGUUUUAUACUGUCAGGUUUGAGGUAAUAGAUAGGUUAUACUUUGUGUAUAAUGUAUUAAGGAGAAAUAAUCAAUCCAAUGACUUCAUAGGGGUGAACAAUAAAGAUUUGUUUGAUACUGCCAGGUUUGAGGUAACUGUAGGUUAUACUUUGUGUAUAAUGUAUGAAGGGGAGAUAAUCAAUUGAAAUGACUUCAUAGGUGGUGAACAAUAAAGAUUUGUUUAAUACUGUCAGAUUUGAGGUAAUGGUAGGUUAUAUAUCCCUUGUGUAUAAUGUAUUGAGGGGAGAUAAUCAAUCCAAAUGACUUCAUAGGGGGUGAACAAUAAAGAUUUGUUUUAUACUGUCAGGUUUGAGGUAACGGUAGGUUAUACUUUGUGUAUAAUGUAUUAAGGGGAGAUAAUCAAUUGAAAUGACUUCAUAGGUGGUGAACAAUAAGAUUUGUUUUAUACUGUCAGGUUUGAGGUUUGGUAGGUUAUAUAAUCAAUCCAAAUGACUUCAUAGGGGUGAACAAUUAAAUUUGUUUUAUACUGUCAGGUUUGAGGUAAUGUAGGUUAUGCUUUGUGUAAGUAUUAAGGGGAGAUAAUCAAUCAAUUGACUUCAAAGGGGGGAACAAAAAGAUUUGUUUUAUACUGUUAUUUGAUAAUGUAGUUGUACUUUGUGUAUAAUGUAUAAAAGGGGAGAUAAUCAAUCCAAAUAGGAGAAUUUGUUUUAUGUCAGUUGAGGUAAUUGGUAGGUUAUACUUGUGUUAUAAUUAUUGGGGAGAUAAUCAAUCCAAAUGACUUUUAUAGGGUGAAAACAAUAAGGAUUUGUUUUAAUCAUAAUGUCAGGUUGAGGUAUGUUUGGUAGAUAAUUAAUCCACUUUGGGGGUGAACAAUAUUUGUUUCAUCAGAGGUAGAUAUCAAGGGGAGAUAAUCAAUCCAAAUGACUUCAUACGUGGUGAACAAGAUAGAUUUGUUUAAUACUGUCAGGUCUGAGGUAACGGUUGAUAAUAUAUACUUUAUGUAAUGCUUCAGGUAAUGGUAGGUUAUACUUUGUGUAUAAUGUAUUCAGAGCAGAUAAUCAAUCCAAAUGACUUCAUAGGGGUGAACAAUAAAGAUUUGUUUUAUGCUGUCAGGUUUGAGGUAAUGGUAGGUUAUACUUUGUGUAUAAUGUAUUAAGGGCAGAUAAUCAAUUCAAUGACUUCAUAGGGUGAACAAAAAAAUUGUUUGAUGCUGUAAAGUUUGAGGUAAAGGUAGGUUAUACUUUGUGUAUAAGGUAUGAAGGGAAGAUAAUCAAUCCAAACGACUUCAUAGGUGGUGAACAAUAAAUAUUUGAUUUAUACUGUCAGGAUUGAGGUAACGGUAGGUUAUAUAUACUUUGUGAAUAAUGUGUUAAGGGGAGAUAAUCAAUCCAAUUGACUUCAUAGGGGGUGAACAAAAAGAUUUGUUUUAUAUUGUAAUGUUUGAGGUAAUGGUAGGUUAUACUUUGUGUAUAAUGUAUAAAGGGGAGAUAAUCAAUCCAAAUGACUUCAUAGGGGUGAACAAAAAAAAAUGUUUUAUGCUGUUAGGUUUGAGGUAACAGUAGGUUAUACUUUGUUUAUAAUGUAUUAAGGGGAGAUAAUCAAUCCAAAUGACUUCAUAGGGGGUGAACAAAAAGAUUGUUUUAUUCUCUCAGGUUUGAGGUAACGGUAGGUUAUACUUUGUUUAUAAUGUAUUAAGGGGAGAUAAUCAAUCCAAAUGACUUCAUAGGGGUUGAACAAAAAGAUUGUUUUAUGCUGUCAGGUUUGAGAUAAUGGAAGUUAUUCUUUGUGUAUAAUGUAUAAAGGGGAGAUAAUUAAUCCGAAUUAUUUCACAGAGGGUGAACAAUAAAAAAAAUUGUUUUAUCUGUCAGGUUUAAAUGGUAGGUCAUACUUUGUGUUAUAAUGUAUCAGAGGGGAUAAUCAAUCCAAAUGACUUCAUAGGGUGAACAAUAAAGAUUUUGUUUUAUACGUCAGGUUUGAGGUAAGGGUUAGGUUUACUUUUGUAUGAUGUCUUAAUGGAGAUACCCAACGCCAAAUGACUUUAUAGGUGGUGAACAAGAUAGAUUGUGUUUGAUACUGUCAGGUUGAGGGUAAUGGUUUGGUAAUAUAUACUUUGUGUAUCAUGUAUUAAGGGGAGAUAAUCAAUCCAAAUGACUUCAUAGGUGGUGAACAAAAAGAUUGGUUUAUGCUGUCAGGUUUGAGAUAAUGGAAGUUAUACUUUGUGUAUAAUGUAUAAAGGGGAGAUAAUUAAUCCGAAUUAUUUCACAGAGGGUGAACAAUAAAAAAUUGUUUUAUACUGUCAGGUUUGAGGUAAUGGUAGGUUAUACUUUGUGUAUAAUGUAUUAAGGGGAGAUAAUCAAUCCAAAUGACUUCAUAAGGGGUGAACAAUAAAGAUUUGUUUUAUACUGUCAGGUUUGAGGUAAGUAGGUUAUACUUUGUGUAUAAUGUAUUAAGGGGAGAUAAUUAAUCCAAAUGACUUCAUAGGGGGUGAACAAUAAAGAUUUGUUUUAUACUGUCAGGUUUGAGGUAAUGGUAGGUUAUACUUUGUGUAUAAUGUAUUAAGAGGAGAUAAUCAAUCCAAAUGACUUCAUAGGGGGUGAACAAUAAAGAUUGGUUUUUACUGUCAGGUUUGAGGUAAUGGUAGGUAUACUUUGUGUAUAAUGUAUUAAGGGGAGAUAAUCAAUCCAAAUGACUUCAUAGGGGAUGAACAAUAAAGAUUUUUUUAUACUGUCAUGUGAGGUAAUGGUAGGUUAUACUUUGUGUAUAAUGUAUUUAGGGGAGAUAAUCAAUCCAAAUGACUUCAUAGGGGUGAACAAUAAAGAUUUGUUUUAUACUGUCAGGUUUGAGGUAAUGGUAGGUUAUACUUUGUGUAUAAUGUAUUAAGGGGGUAUAAUCAAUCCAAAUGACUUUUUAGGUGGUGAACAAAUAGAUUUGUUUGAUACUGUCAGGUUUGAGGUAACUUGGUAGAUAUAUACUUUGUGUAUAAUGUAUUAAGGGGAGAUAAUCAAUCCAAAUGACUUCAUAGGGGGUAACAAUAAAGAUUUGUUUUAUACUGUCAGGUUUGAGGUAAUGGUAGGUUAUACUUUGUGUAUAAUGUAUUCAAGGAGAUAAUCAAUCCAAAUGACUUCAUAGGGGGUAAGCAAAAAGAUUUGUUUAAUACUGUAAUGUUUGAGGUAAUGGUAGGUUAUACUUUGUGUAUAAUGUAUUCAGGGAGAUAAUUAAUCCAAAUGACUUCAUAGGGGGUGAACAAUAAAGAUUUGUUUGAUACUGUAAUGUUUGAGGUAACGGUAAGUUAUCCUUUGUGUAUAAUUUAUUAAGGGUAGAUAAUCAAUCGAAAUGACGUCAUAGGUGGUGAACGAUAAAGAUUUGUUUGAUACUGUCAGGUUUGAGGUAACGGUAGGUUAUACUUUGUUUAUAAUGUAUUAAGGGGAGAUAAUCAAUCCAAAUGACUUCAUAGGGGGUGAACAAUAAAGAUUUGUUUUAUACUGUCAGGUUUGAGGUAACGGUAGGUUAUACUUUGUGUAUAAUGUAUUAAGUGGAGAUAAUCAAUCCAAUUGACUUCAUGGGGGUGAACAAAAAGAUUUGUUUUAUACUGUAAUGUUUGAGGUAAUGGUAGGUUAUACUUUGUGUUUACUGUAUAAAGGGGAGAUAAUCAAUCCAAAUGACUUCAUAGGGGUUGAACAAUAAAGAUUUGUUUUAUACUGUCAGGUUUGAGGUAAUGGUAGGUUAUACUUUGUGUAUAUUGUAUAAAGGGGAGAUAAUCAAUCCAAAUGACUUCAUAGGGGGUAACAAUAAAGAUUUGUUUUAUACUGUCAGGUUUGAGGUAACGGUUGGUAUAUAUACUUUGUGUAUAAUGUAUUAAGGGGAGAUAAUCAUUCAAUAUGACUUAAUAGGGGUGAACAAUAAAGAUUUGUUUAAUACUGUCAGGUUUGAGGUAACGGCAGGUUAUAUAUUCUUUGUGUAUAAUGUAUUCAGGGGAGAUAAUCAUUCAAAAUGACUUAAUAGGUGUGAACAAUAAAGAUUUGUUUUAUACUGUCAGGUUUGAGGUAACGGUAGGUUAUACUUUGUGUAUAAUGUAUUAAGGGGAGAUAAUCAAUCCAAAUGACUUCAUAGGAGG
rnacentral:lncRNA from 1 species